AAUAAAACAAAUUAAAUAUUAAAACUUGAAUUCAUUUUAAUCAAAACAUUAUUAGAUUUAGUAAAGGGGAUUAAAAAUUAUUUUAUAUUUUUAAUUAGAGUACUGUGAAGGAAUAACUUUAAUUAUAAAAAAGAAAAAAUUAAAUUUU
rnacentral:rRNA from 1 species